UGGGGAAUAUUGCGCAAUGGGGGAAACCCUGACGCAGCAACGCCGCGUGCGGGAGGAAGGCCCUCGGGUUGUAAACCGCUUUCAGCAGGAACGAAAAUGACGGUACCUGCAGAAGAAGCCCCGGCCAACUACGUGCCAGCAGCCGCGGUGAUACGUAGGGGGCGAGCGUUGUCCGGAUUUAUUGGGCGUAAAGGGCGCGUAGGCGGCCCUCUAAGUCAGACGUGAAAUCCCCGGGCUCAACCCGGGAACUGCGUCUGAUACUGGAGGGCUUGAAUCCGGGAGAGGGAUGCGGAAUUCCAGGUGUAGCGGUGAAAUGCGUAGAUAUCUGGAGGAACACCGGUGGCGAAGGCGGCAUCCUGGACCGGCAUUGACGCUGAGGCGCGAAAGCCAGGGGAGCAAACAGGAUUAGAUACCCACGUAGUCCCUGAGCGGGCUGGCAAGGCGCAU
rnacentral:rRNA from 1 species